AGGUUCCCAGGAUAGCCCAAACAGUCUGGAUUUGUAAAAGGCAUCGCAGGUCACUCAGCAGCCAACAGAUCUGUUGGAAAUCAAGAGGCUCUCAACAGCUAACCUGCAAAGACAGUGUGUGAAUUAUGUCUAAGAGCUUCAUUGUGUGAGCCAAGUUAAGACUUUAGCCCUCUCUUCUCUCGACCCCAGAACCCCAGGUCAGAGGUCACUGGUCAGGCUCCAGAGUAGCGAGGGGUAGUGGUUAUUGCUAAGCAUGGUCAUGAGGGUUGAAGAAGGGAGAGCCACAGACAGUGCGUCUAUUCUCUCAUCCCUUCAGACCAAGGACCCGGCAAACAGAACCAGAGCACAAGCUCCCUCAGUGCCGGGCUCUAACUUGGCCCACGGCUUCCUGUGGCAGAGGGCAUUUCUCCACAGAGCACGCUAACACCUCUUGAUACUGAUGUGGCCGGGGGAGAGAGCUGGAGACAAUAGCACACCUGAGACUAUGCUGCGACUCCCACUUUGGUUUGAGGCCAAUCAUUUACUAAGAGGCAGCUAACUUAAAAGUAGGUCACCCAGGAAGCUGACGGUCCAAGAUCCACUGAAAAACGGACAAGCUCUGGCUACCAGAUCAUGGCAUGGUGCCUUUGGUUAACAAUAUUGCAUUCCAAAAACAGCUGGAAGGUCCAGUGGGAGGAUUUCCUGCCGUGUUAAGCCAGACACCAGGACAGGAAGCAAUAAAGGGACAAUGACACAUGGUCCUUAAGCUGACCCCAUGGAGGUAUACGCCUUAGGAGUAUGUAUUCUCUCAGAGUAAG
ensembl:antisense 1700120E14Rik RIKEN cDNA 1700120E14 gene